rnacentral:lncRNA from 1 species
GCCUCCAUAAAAACCGAAAAGGAUGGAUUCAGAGAGCUCCCAAGUUGGUGAGCACCUGCAGGUGCUGAGAGAGUGGUAGAGCAGAGGGCUUGGAAGCUCCGAGCUCCUUCCCACAUACCUUGCCUCUUCAUCUGGCUGUUCAUCUGUAUCCUAUAUAAUGACCUUUUUAAUAGACUAGUAAAUAUUCCAGGUCCUGAUGCUUGUCAAAGUCUUGAUGGAUGGGAUUAGGGGGAGUCCAGCCAGGGCCUCAGGGCCACAGGAUCCUUCAAUCUCCAGUCUCUAAGUUAAACCUGAUCGGAUUUGGGGGCAUGCUUCAAAUAUUUGAGGGGUUGAUGACUUCAUUCAUUCAAGAAGAAAAAUCGGGGCCGGCUCCUUGGCCAAGUGGUUUAAAUUCACGCGCUCCGCUGCGGCGGCCCAGGGUUCGGAUCCUGGGCGCGGACAUGGCACCGCUCAUCAGGCCACAUUGAGGCGGCGUCCCACAUCCCACAACUAGAAGGACCUGCAACUAAGAGAUACAACUGUGUAUCUCUUAGUUGGGGGGGGGGGGGGUUGGGGAGAUAAAGCAGAAAAAAAAAAGAUUGGCAACAGUUGUUAGCCCAAGUGCCAAUCUUUAAAAAAAAAAAAAGAAAAAUAUUUGUUAAAAGAGAUAAAUUCUUAA